UACGAAGGGGGCUAGCGUUGCUCGGAAUCACUGGGCGUAAAGCGCACGUAGGCGGCUUUCUAAGUCAGGGGUGAAAUCCUGGAGCUCAACUCCAGAACUGCCUUUGAUACUGGCGACCUUGAGUUCGGGAGAGGUGAGUGGAACUGCGAGUGUAGAGGUGAAAUUCGUAGAUAUUCGCAAGAACACCAGUGGCGAAGGCGGCUCACUGGCCCGAUACUGACGCUGAGGUGCGAAAGCGUGGGGAGCAAACAGG
rnacentral:rRNA from 1 species